rnacentral:rRNA from 1 species
UUAAGUGAAUAAGGGCGCACGGUGGAUGCCUUGGCACUAGGAGCCGAUGAAGGACGGGACUAACACCGAUAUGCUUUGGGGAGCUGUAAGUAAGCUAUGAUCCAGAGAUUUCCGAAUGGGGGAACCCAAUAUCUUUUAUAGGAUAUUACUUUUCAGUGAAUACAUAGCUGAUUAGAGGUAGACGCAGAGAACUGAAACAUCUUAGUACCUGCAGGAAGAGAAAGAAAAUUCGAUUCCCUGAGUAGCGGCGAGCGAAACGGGAAGAGCCCAAACCAACAAGCUUGCUUGUUGGGGUUGUAGGACUCCAAUAUGGUAGUCUGUUAGUAUAGUUGAAGGAUUUGGAAAAUUCCGCUAAAGAGGGUGAAAGCCCCGUAGACGAAAUGCUAACAACACCUAGGAGAAUCCUGAGUACGGCGGAACACGAGAAAUUCCGUCGGAAUCCGCGGGGACCAUCCCGCAAGGCUAAAUACUCCCUAGUGACCGAUAGUGAACCAGUACCGUGAGGGAAAGGUGAAAAGCACCCCGGAAGGGGAGUGAAAUAGAUCCUGAAACCGUGUGCCUACAACAAGUCAAAGCUCGUUAAUGAGUGAUGGCGUGCCUUUUGUAGAAUGAACCGGCGAGUUACGAUUGCAUGCGAGGUUAAGUCGAAGAGACGGAGCCGCAGCGAAAGCGAGUCUGAAUAGGGCGAAUGAGUAUGUAGUCGUAGACCCGAAACCAUGUGAUCUACCCAUGUCCAGGUUGAAGGUGCGGUAAAACGCACUGGAGGACCGAACCCACGUACGUUGAAAAGUGCGGGGAUGAGGUGUGGGUAGCGGAGAAAUUCCAAACGAACUUGGAGAUAGCUGGUUCUCUCCGAAAUAGCUUUAGGGCUAGCCUCGGAAUUGAGAAUGAUGGAGGUAGAGCACUGUUUGGACUAGGGGCCCAUCUCGGGUUACCGAAUUCAGAUAAACUCCGAAUGCCAUUCAUUUAUAUCCGGGAGUCAGACUGCGAGUGAUAAGAUCCGUAGUCGAAAGGGAAACAGCCCAGACCACCAGCUAAGGUCCCAAAAUAUAUGUUAAGUGGAAAAGGAUGUGGGGUUGCACAGACAACUAGGAUGUUGGCUUAGAAGCAGCCACCAUUUAAAGAGUGCGUAAUAGCUCACUAGUCGAGUGACCCUGCGCCGAAAAUGUACCGGGGCUAAACAUAUUACCGAAGCUGUGGACUACACCAUUAGGUGUAGUGGUAGGAGAGCGUUCUAAGGGCGUUGAAGGUCGAUCGUGAGGACGGCUGGAGCGCUUAGAAGUGAGAAUGCCGGUAUGAGUAGCGAAAGACAGGUGAGAAUCCUGUCCACCGUAUGACUAAGGUUUCCUGGGGAAGGCUCGUCCGCCCAGGGUUAGUCGGGACCUAAGCCGAGGCCGAUAGGCGUAGGCGAUGGACAACAGGUUGAUAUUCCUGUACCAGUUGUUUUUGUUUGAGCAAUGGAGGGACGCAGUAGGCUAAGGAAUGCAUGCGAUUGGAAGUGCAUGUCCAAGCAAUGAGUCUUGAGUAGAGUUAAAUGCUUUACUCUUUAAGGACAAGUUGUGACGGGGAGCGAAAUAAUAGUAGCAAAGUUCCUGAUGUCACACUGCCAAGAAAAGCUUCUAGUGAGAAAACAACUGCCCGUACCGUAAACCGACACAGGUAGUCGAGGAGAGUAUCCUAAGGUGAGCGAGCGAACUCUCGUUAAGGAACUCGGCAAAAUGACCCCGUAACUUCGGGAGAAGGGGUGCUGACUUCGGUCAGCCGCAGUGAAUAGGCCCAAGCGACUGUUUAUCAAAAACACAGGUCUCUGCAAAAUCGUAAGAUGAAGUAUAGGGGCUGACGCCUGCCCGGUGCUGGAAGGUUAAGAGGAUGGGUUAGCUUCGGCGAAGCUCAGAAUUGAAGCCCCAGUAAACGGCGGCCGUAACUAUAACGGUCCUAAGGUAGCGAAAUUCCUUGUCGGGUAAGUUCCGACCCGCACGAAAGGCGUAACGAUUUGGGCACUGUCUCAACGAGAGACUCGGUGAAAUUUUAGUACCUGUGAAGAUGCAGGUUACCCGCGACAGGACGGAAAGACCCCAUGGAGCUUUACUGUAGUUUGAUAUUGAGUGUUUGUACCACAUGUACAGGAUAGGUAGGAGCCGAUGAGACCGGAACGCUAGUUUCGGAGGAGGCGCUGGUGGGAUACUACCCUUGUGUUAUGAACCCUCUAACCCGCACCACUAAUCGUGGUGGGAGACAGUGUCAGAUGGGCAGUUUGACUGGGGCGGUCGCCUCCUAAAAGGUAACGGAGGCGCCCAAAGGUUCCCUCAGAAUGGUUGGAAAUCAUUCGAAGAGUGUAAAGGCAGAAGGGAGCUUGACUGCGAGACCUACAAGUCGAGCAGGGACGAAAGUCGGGCUUAGUGAUCCGGUGGUUCCGCAUGGAAGGGCCAUCGCUCAACGGAUAAAAGCUACCCUGGGGAUAACAGGCUUAUCUCCCCCAAGAGUCCACAUCGACGGGGAGGUUUGGCACCUCGAUGUCGGCUCGUCGCAUCCUGGGGCUGUAGUCGGUCCCAAGGG